rnacentral:lncRNA from 1 species
AUAACAACUCAAAAUGCCUUUAUCUUAUCUUUGGACCACCCUCAACCAUCAAACUUCCUGUUCUCUGAAUCUUGAUUUAACAUGAUUGGAUGAAAUUUGGGAUAAUACACAAUAGUGCAGUCAAGUUCUUGUAGUUAAUAUAAUAGUCCUAAAAUAUAGCUAACUAUUUUGCAGUCAUAUGCAAAACUUCAUCAUUUCCUUAAAACAUUGCAUAGACUUUUCACUGUUUUGUGCAUUGUUUUGCUUAGUAGUAUUUACAUUAUUUUAAUUUGUAAUUAAGAUGAUAAGCAUAUAUUCAAGUCUCCAGAUGAUAUGUUUGAUUUUGGCUCCUGAAUAUAAGUAGAAAUAUCAUUUAGUAAUAAAUUAAUGAGGAUCAAUAUCCUAUUUUUAUCAUUUUUCAACAACUACCAAAUAAAUUGUAGAAUAAAUUGAAUUAUAAAGCAUAUAUUAGGCAGCUCAAUAAUAAAGCAGACAAUUCAAUUAAUUAUAACUUACUUUCAGUUCUAAAAUUGUCUCCCAAAGCAAUUUCAAGUAUUUGUAAAUUAAAAAGUUUAAUUAUCCAUUGUGCCUACUCAGAGUUAUUGUACCUGCAGGAGGGCAGGAAAUGGGGUAGAAAAUAAAAGCAUUUUUCAUUGUCUUCGGCCUCAAGGAGUUUGCAAAGAACCAGCACUCAUAAAACAGCUACUAAGAGCCAGGCUACCUUUCAGCACCUAGAACAGCAGUUCUCAACCUAUGUGUCAUGACCUUCUGAGGGUCCUGUAUCAAAUAUUCUGCAUACCAGAUAUUUACAUUAUGAUUAAUAACAGUAACAACAUUACAAUUAUGAAGUAGCCACAAAAUAAUUUUAUAGUUGGGUGUCACCACAACAUGAGAAACUCUGUUAAAGGGUCUCAGCAUUAAGAAUGUUGAGAACCACACACUCAGAAGCUAGGCAUCUAUGCUACCUGGACCACUUUCAGCAUCUCUCCCUAUCUCUGCACCUCAGGCUUGACCCAUCUAUCACAUGAUUCAAAGCACUGAAAACCAUACUAGGCAGCUGAAAUCUAACGAGUGCUAAGAUAACUCUACUUUUUACAAUGUUGGGUUUAUUCAGGAAGUCGCAGUAAUAAGAGACAGGGGUUCUGAGGGAAGAUCACUCUCUAAACUUGGAAGCACCUCUCAAAGGCAAAUUCAAAUGCUGUAUCUUAUUCCACAGUAAACUCGAACUUCUAGCAUCUCAUUGUGUGGAUAUAACCCAAAGGUGAGACGGCAUGCGGCUGAGGUCAGAAAAUGCAACCAGUUAUUUUUAGUUUCAUAGCACUAACCAACAAGAAAUGAAUGUCAGGCAUUCUGGCCUUUGGUUUGCAGCUGCUGCCUGGUUUCUGUCUCCUCCCAGCCAUCUCUGUGAUUAGGGUCUUCAAUUGGAUUUAAUAGAAAAUUAAGAGAACAAUGAGCUAGAAGAGCAAUCCGAUUGCCGUGAUUUAGCAAAUACAGUUGAGUCCAAAGCAACUCUCACGUAUAGUCAGGCUUAAUGGCUAAACUUGUGAAAGUAAGGUAGCAAGGAAGUGACAAGGUUCCGAGCUGGCAGCCCAUGUCAGGAUGAGAUGCAGGACCCAGACAGGUGCUGCUUGUUAACCUUGCUCCCCAGAAUUUCUGACAGUCUGCAGGGUCACCCACAUAAUGCCAGGAUUCCUUUUAAACUAACAUCUCUCUUAAGAGAUACAUACACCACAGCAAGGAAGGAUAGGCACAUAGCUCUAUUUUAUCUUAUAAUUCUCCACAACAAUUCACUCUUAUUGUUUAUAGCUGCCCUAACAUACCAUAAGCCAGUGUAACCAGCAGUAGAACUAUUAGCUUCUUGGAAUCUAUAUUGUGUCUAUUUUUUGGUCUAUUCGACUAAGAAAAGCACAGCUUUCACUUUAAGCUAGUAGUUCUCAACCUGUGGAUUGUGACCCUAUGGGGGAGGGGGGUCAAGUGACCCUUCCACAUAUCAGUCACAUAUCAGCUAUCCUUCAUAUCAGAUAUUAUAUUAUAAUUCAUAACAGUAGC